rnacentral:rRNA from 1 species
AAAGGUGAAAAGAACCCCUAUUAGGGGAGUGAAAUAGAACCUGAAACUGCAUGCCUACAAUCAGUCGAAGCUCUUUUUAGAGUGACGGCGUACCUUUUGUAUAAUGGGUCAGUGACUUAAUUUAUUAAGCAAGCUUAAGCCAUCUAGGUGUAGGCGCAGCGAAAGCAAGUCUUAAUAGGGCGAUUAGUUUAAUGAAUUAGACCCGAAAACGAAUGAGCUUACCAUGAGCAGGUUGAAAGUUGGGUAACACCAACCGGAGGACCGAACCAGUUGACGUUGAAAAGUCUUUGGAUGACUUGUGGUAAGGGGUGAAAGGCCAACCAAAUUCGUAGAUAGCUGGUUUUCCGCGAAAACUAUUUAGGUAGUGCGUUGAAUAAAUAGAUGUUUAGAGGUAGAGCACUAAAUGGGCUAGGGGGAAGAGAUUCUUACCAAACCUAAUAAAACUCCGAAUGCUAGACAUUGUUCUUCAACAGACAGACUGUGGGUGCUAAGGUCCAUGGUCGAGAGGGAAAGAGCCCAGACCACCAGAUAAGGUCCCCAAAUUAUGAUUAAGUGUGAAAGGAUGUGGAAAUUCCUUAACAGCCGGGAGGUUGGCUUAGAAGCAGCCAUCCUUUAAAGAUAGCGUAACAGCUCACCGGUCUAAUAGAGUUUCUGCGCCGAAGAUGUAACGGGGCUAAAAUCAUAUACCGAAUCUGUGGGUUUAUAAAAUUUUCGAAUUUUAUAAGCGGUAGCGGAACGUUCUGUAAGCCUGCGAAGGGAUACCCGUGAGGGAUCCUGGAGGUAUCAGAAGUGCGAAUGCUGACAUAAGUAACGAUAAAAGAAGUGAAAAACUUCUUCGCCGAAAAUCCAAGGGUUUCUGCGCAAGGUUAAUCCGCGCAGAGUUAGUCGGCACCUAAGGCGAGGGCGAAAGCCGUAGUCGAUGGAAAUAAGGUUAAUAUUCCUUAACCAGAUGGUAGUGACGGAUCUUGUAAGUUGUGUACUCUUAAUGGAUUGAGUAUGCCGCGAAAAGGUUCCAAGAAAUAGCUCCAUCAUUAGACCGUACCCUAAACCGACACAGGUGGAUUAAUAGAGUAUAUUUAGGCGCUUGAGAGAAUGAUGUUGAAGGAACUCGGCAAAAUGCUUCCGUAACUUCGGGAUAAGGAAGACCUGUUUUUAGGCAACUAGAGAUGGGUGGCACAAGCCAGGGAGAAGCGACUGUUUAUCAAAAACACAGGGCUCUGCUAACACGUAAGUGGAUGUAUAGGGUCUGACGCCUGCCCGGUGCUGGAAGGUUAAUGCGGUUGGUGCAAGCUAACUUCUGAAGCCCCAGUAAACGGCGGCCGUAACUAUAACGGUCCUAAGGUAGCGAAAUUCCUUGUCGGGUAAGUUCCGACCUGCAUGAAUGGCGUAACGAUUUCUCCGCUGUCUCCAACAUCAACUCAGUGAAAUUGAAUUCUCCGUGAAGAUGCGGAGUUCGCGUAGUUAGACGGAAAGACCCCGUGCACCUUUACUGCAACUUUACAUUGGUAUUAGGAAAAACAUAUUUAGUAUAGGAGGGAGACAUUGAAGCAAUGGCGUCAGCUUUUGUGGAGUCACCAGUGAAAUACCUCUUUUGUUUUUCUUGGUAUCUAACUGAUUGCCGUCAUCCGGCAUCAAGACAUUGUAUGGUGGGUAGUUUGACUGGGGCGGUCGCCUCCCAAAUAGUAACGGAGGCGUGCGAAGGUAGGCUCAGAACGGUCAGAAAUCGUUCGUAGAGUGCAAUGGCAUAAGCCUGCCUGACUGUGAGACUGACAAGUCGAGCAGAGACGAAAGUCGGUCAUAGUGAUCCGGUGGUUCUGAGUGGAAGGGCCAUCGCUCAACGGAUAAAAGGUACGCCGGGGAUAACAGGCUGAUACUGCCCAAGAGCUCAUAUCGACGGCAGUGUUUGGCACCUCGAUGUCGGCUCAUCACAUCCUGGGGCUGGAGCAGGUCCCAAGGGUUUGGCUGUUCGCCAAUUAAAGUGGUACGUGAGCUGGGUUCAGAACGUCGUGAGACAGUUCGGUCCCUAUCUGCUAUGCGUGUAGAAGAAUUGAGAGGAGUUGACCCUAGUACGAGAGGACCGGGUUGAACAUACCACUGGUGGACCGGUUGUAGCGCCAGCUGCAGUGCCGGGUAGCUAAGUAUGGACGAGAUAACUGCUGAAAGCAUCUAAGCGGGAAACUCACCUCAAAACUAGUUCUUCCUAUAGAGCCGUGGUAGACCACCACGUUGAUAGGCUGGAUGUGGAAGCACAGCAAUGUGUGCAGCUGACCAGUACUAAUAGCUCAAUUGGCUUGAUUUA